UCCGGGAUGAGUUCUUGACAAACCGCGACAACCCUAACCCAGACAGAUUCUUCUGGAUGUUCGAUCCAAACAAGCUCCCCUACAAAAUGGAAAGAAUGCCAGAAAUUAAUGACAAUACUCGAUGACAACAAUGGGUGGUGCGUCUAUGAGGUUGACAUAGCUGCUCGCACGCUCCAUGUAAUGGAUCCAAUGAUGACCACAUCAAACGAGGGGAGUAUGGAGAGGAAACACCAGAAAAACGCUAAAUACAUGCUUCACUGCCUGUGCAAGUGCCUCCGUGAAUGGUAUCCAAACUGGCAUUUCUCUACAUUUCAAUGGACUUACAAGUACAACUACGGCAUGCACCCCAGCUGCAGCAGGAAAUAGAGCGGCUUCUACGUGCUACACUACAUUAAGGAGUUUGAUGGAGUUCGGCUGAAAACCUUUCCCACACAUGUACGCUGUGCCGUUUACAAAAUUGGUUUUGGUUUUCAGUUCCAUCUGUAGCAUCCUUCAUACUAACCCAAAUGUGUCUCGUAGGAACUAAUUGAAAAUCUGCGAAAGGAGAUGGCGUACGAAAUUCUGGCAGUGAGGGGCAACAUGGCAGACUUCCCCAACGAACUCUAUGUUCGGAUCUUCACCUAGGAGAUUUCUUCACAAGGAAAAAAACCAUAUCAUGCAAUAUGGAUUGC